rnacentral:rRNA from 1 species
UGGGGAAUUUUGCACAAUGGGGGAAACCCUGAUGCAGCGACGCCGCGUGAUUUAGAAGGCCUUCGGGUUGUAAAAAUCUUUUCUAUGGGAAGAAAAUAACAGUACCAUAGGAAUAAGGACCGGCUAAUUACGUGCCAGCAGCCGCGGUAAUACGUAAGGUCCGAGCGUUGUCCGGAAUCAUUGGGCGUAAAGGGUACGUAGGCGGGUAAGCAAGUUAGAAGUGAAAUCCUAUAGCUCAACUAUAGUAAGCUUUUAAAACUGCUCAUCUUGAGGUAUGGAAGGGAGAGUGGAAUUCCUAGUGUAGCGGUGAAAUGCGCAGAUAUUAGGAGGAAUACCGGUGGCGAAGGCGACUUUCUGGCCAUAACCUGACGCUGAGGUACGAAAGCGUGGGUAGCAAACAGG